GCUUACAUGAACUCAACAAAGCACAUUGCGCUAAGUCGCUAAAGGUGUCAAAUGCAGGAGUUGCAGCCAUACAUCUAACGAUCUGCACUCUUCAGCCAUGAGAAAAAUCCUGUGUUUAACCAGGUGCUUCCUCAGAUUCAGCAGGCCGCAGACAGACGCGCCCGGCAGAGGACAGGGCACGAGAGAAGCAGCGGACAGCCAGACCUCAAGCCAGCGAGAGACCACACCCCACGCUGGCAGAAAGGCGGGACGCC